rnacentral:rRNA from 1 species
GACAGAGGGUGCAAACGUUGUUCGGAAUUACUGGGCGUAAAGCGCGUGUAGGCUGCUUGGCAAGUCGGAUGUGAAAGCCCUGGGCUCAACCUAGGAAGUGCAUUCGAAACUGCCAAGCUAGAGUACUGGAGAGGGUGGCGGAAUUCUCGGUGUAGAGGUGAAAUUCGUAGAUAUCGGGAGGAACACCAGUGGCGAAGGCGACUACCUGGCCUGUUCUUGACGCUGAGGCGCGAAAGCUAGGGGAGCAAACGGG